rnacentral:lncRNA from 1 species
AAGUGGGGUAUUUCGCCCAAUUCUGCGAGUGUCGUGUUCUCCACAGGGACUAGGCGACGACAACAAUGCUCGGCUAAAGCUAGGUGACAGAAUUUAAAUGAUGAUAGCAGAAAAUAUAAACCUAAAAUAACCAAGGAUGAUGACAAAUAAAAUGACAAACAGCAUGGAGAGAUUAAGAUUGAAACUCACUGUAUCUUUGGUAUUUUUGUUUUACUAAAGACGCUAAAACACUAACAUAAAGGGAAGCAACGGGACAUGAACACAUAUAUUAGUAUCAUACAAGUAACAAAGGGGGAGAAAGAAUGCUAUGACAGAGACAGAAAUAUAUCACAACACAAACAUAUAUAUUUUCACAUGAACGUAAUUAACACAGGGACUACAGAACACACAUAAGCACACCAUGAUCCAGGUUACAUAAGUAAACAAAUUAUACAAGCCACUUACUAGUAUCACAGAUCAACAGAGUAGUAUUGAACAACUAAAAAUAGAUAGUAGAAGUAACUAGUACAGGAAACAAGUACUCUUAGAAUCUGAAUGUUACAGACUACACGUCACAAACUACAGAAAAUUCAGAGAAGAGAAGGAGAAAGAGAGAUGGCAGCAGGAGAUUAGAGAAAGAAGAAGCAGCAACUGGGGCAUGGAGAGAGGAGCAGCAGCAGUACGGGAUUCAGAGAAGAGCAACAGAGAGGGAGAGAGCAGCAGCGUGGUGAGGAUUCAGAGGUGAACAGCAGCAAGGUUAGGAGAAGGAGAAGGGCAGCAGCGAGGUAAGGAGAAGAGUAGCAGCAGCAGAUUGAGAAGGGAGGAAAAAGAAGCAGCAAGCAGCGGAAGGAGGAGGAGGAGGAGGAAGAGCAGCAGGGCAAGAGAAGAAGGAGGCAGCAGCAGGAGGUUGGAGAAGGGAGAAGCAGCAGUAGGAAGAGAAGAAGGACCAGGGACGUGGCAAGGGAGAUGCAGCAGUAGAGGCGUGGGGAAGAAGAGAAGCAGCAGGGGCGAAGCAAGAGGGAAGAGUGGAAGUGGUGGAUGGCGCCGGCGUGGGUUGCUGGUGGUUCGGGGUUCAGGUGGCGGCGCUGAUGGUGGAUGGUGCAGCGGUGGCGCUGGGUGAUGGACGGAUGGAUGGCGAUGGUGAAGUGGUGGAGUAGCAGCUAGUGGUGGGGGGUGCUGUUGGCGCGGUGGCGCGCCGCCACGCCGGCCUGGCCGCGGCGGUGGCCGGUGGUGGAGAAGGUGGGAUGAGGGAGAGAGAGAGAUAUGCCAGGCCCAAAAGGGGAUCGGGGCUGCUGCUAGGGAUUUUGACCCCUCCUCUAGUGUGCCACUUUUUUGAUUUGGCCCUUCUCCUUUCCUUCUUUCUUCCCAAGUCGAUCCCCUCUAUCUUUAGUUUUGGCCCCCGGUUUCUUCUUCCUUCAUGCUCAAGUCCCUUUCUUCACUUCUUUCCUGCCCUUCUCUCUUCUCAAUGGCCAAUUCGUCCGAAUCUUGAAGAUUAUAGUGCCUUUGCGCACUUUUCUGCAAAAUAAUCAAAUGACGAGUAAAUGAUCUUUUAUAUGAUUUUCAUUCAAAUAUAUCAUAGUUCACAGCAAGAAUGGAUCGUCGGAUCAAAUAUAUGGUGUGUUUGUGUGCCAAAAUUAUAUAUAUGAAAUGUGCUUAUCAAGUUCCCCCACACUUAAAUCUUUGCUUGUCCUCAAGCAAAGGCAUAUGACAAAAGCAAGAACAUGAACAGUGAACUGACUAGAGAAUGUCAAGUGAAGUAGAUCUCUAAACAGUGCAUGCUUUGGACUUGGCUAGUGAAAAUUAAUGGUUAAGAGUGCUACAUAUCAAUAGGACAUUAGUAAACUCGACCAUUUUAAACUUUUGCAAUGAUAAACGAAGAUUAGCAAGUUCAAAUGCUAACUGUGCCAAAAGGUUCCUAAAGAGAGCAUGAUCCUGAGAACAAAAGGAGCUUGAAUUAAAUCACUUAUUUGCAGAAAUAUAACAUUGUGGUUGCACCACUUAUUAAAAUUGAAGGAAGUAAUGAUAAUAUUUUAUUAGUCUCACCAAAGGAACAUACCACCGAUCCCGAGAACAUGGUAUACACCUGGCUCGACCAAUUAUUAGUUUUUUUAGUUUGUCUCCCCAAAGGAACAUACCACCGAUCCAGAGAACAUGGUAUACACCUGGUUCGACAAUUACAUUUUUUAAUAUAAUUAACUCCUAUCUGAUCCAACCAGAUUUCACAAGCCACCGAUCCAGGAAACAUGACAUGCUACUGUUAGGUAGAUCAGAUAAUUAUUUAUUCAUUAUUACUUAUUUAAAAAAGGAAUACAAAAGGAAACAAGAAUCAUCACUCAUCCAGGUCUGGUUCACAUACUACCGAUCCAGGGAACAUAGCAUGCUAGUCCAUAGUGGUGAGUGAUUGCUCUGAAUGGGAACACAUUAGGCACAAACUCAGCAUCUGACACUUAAUGAUCUAGGUGUAUCAAGGUAAGAGCAGAAAAUAAUUAAGUUUUCUAGUGUACUAGGGAUUUGAGCACUCAAAACUAAUAGCUUUCACUAAUUGCAGCAAACCAAGCAAUAUGUAGAUCACUAGUUUACAUGGCAUUCAACAAUCAGUUCGCAUAUUCUCAUCAAGCACCAUAUGUCAAAUAAAAUUCAGUGGGGCAACAUUUAAGAAAUGGGUUAAGCAAACCAAAUAACAUUUGAUUUCAGCAUGUAUCAAUGGAUGAUAUACUCGGAAUGGGUCAUGAAACAGCUCACCGGGCACUAUGAAGUAGCACUCGCUUGAUCACUCUCUAAGUUGCUGCUCUUCUCUUUUUGCUUCUCUAUCCUCAUGCCUGCUCCAGCUUCACUCUUCUUCGCGUGUGCCCAUUGCUUCUCCUCAUCACCAUGCCGUGAAUCCACCAGGAUCCCAAGGAAUGUCAUCUCGAACUCUGUCAACUCACAGUAAAUGGUGCACAAGCAUCAACCUGAAAGAACACUCAACAACCAAGCCAAUACAAGUGACAGAGAGAAUGCCCUCUAAGUCAUCGACAGAGUACCCUAUCAUAUAAGUAUAUCUAUUGAGCAAAUCAGGAACAUGUAUCAACAACAAGUCACAUGGUGCAUAGGCAAUAUCAGCGAUAUGACAUAACUUAUCCAGAAAGCUGAGAUAAUACCUGAGAUAGUUAGGAAGAAGCUUCAAGACUACCUCAAUUGAAGAUACCAAGUGAGGUGUGGUUGUAGAAAUUUCCACCGGACUCAUGUCAACAAGUGAAAUAGUAGAGCUUGGCUCCUUGGCAUCUGAAUCCACCUCAUCAUAAUUAACCAUGAAGCUCUCCAUCUCAGGCUCAAGUGUUGAGGAAUCAAUGCGGCUAACAUCAUUGAAGCUGAACUUCUCCAUAUCUGGCUCUAGCAGCACAUGAUCAAUAUCAACUAAAGGUGACUCCUCAAUAUAAAAAACAACUAACUGCAGCUCUGGCUCAUCCAUGGAAGAAUCAUCACAAUGCAAAACUAAAUCUCCAACACUAGUAUCCAUAUGAUCUGAAGUGUGUGUGUCAACUAGGAUGGUGUCAUCAUCAUCAAAGAUAAUCCAUGAAAGCUCAAUCUUGUUACACGGAGAAACUGGUUCUGACUUUUGUGUAUGAGAUUCUUGCUGAGAUGAAGUGAUUUGUUGCAAACAAACAACUGAAUCAGAGAUGGGCUUCUCAUUGUACCACUGAAGUUGGUGGAAGGCUAUACUCUCAAUCAGCAGAAAAGCAACAUCAAGUGUCUUGUUUGUAAUAGCUCCACCCACUGCCCUAUCGACGUAAGCUCGAGUGUCCGAGUCAAUCCUCUAUAGAAUAUCUGCAACUCUAACCAUCUCUCGAGCCCUUGGUUAGGACAUCUCCUGAAUAAAGCCUUGUACCUCUCCCAACCAUCAUACAAGCUCUCGUAUUCACGCUGAACGAAAUUGAAGAUCUCAUCUCGAAUCGCAGACUGCUUGUGUAGUGGGAAAUAUCUAUCCAAGAAAGCUCGUGAUAUCUCAUUCCAACUAUAUGACCUUGAUGGCAAGGAUCGAUACCAAGCACGAGCAUCAUCACGGAGAGAGAAUGUGAACAACCUGCACAUGAUUGCAUCUUGAGGAACUCCAUGGUACUUGACUGUAUCUGAAUACUCCAUGACUCGGUGUAAGUGCUCAUAGGGAUCCUCAGUAGGCAGUCCUCCAAACUGUUGUUGUUGACCCAAAGCAAUAAGACUAGGUUUCAGCUCGAAGUUCUCUGCCUCAAUAGUUGGCCAAAUCGGUCCUGUGAUAUAGCACUGACUUUUGGGCAUCCAAAGAUCACGAAGCAAUGCCAUCUUAACCGAGUGUAACUAUAGAACAACCUGCAAUUAGUUCAGAUUUCCUACAAACACUCAUAAACAGUAAACACUAGUCAGAAAGUUAGUAUCCUAAUAAGCCAAAGCAACAAAAAGUAAAAAGGUAAAAGAAGCAGAGAAAUAAAUUUGAAUGGAAAUUUAAACAAAAACUAUACUAAGCCUAGUCUAUGUUGGAAAUAUGCCCUAGAGGCAAUAAUAAAAUGGUUAUUAUUGUAUUUCCUUGUUCAUGAUAAUUGUCUGUUGUUCAUGCUAUAAUUGUAUUAACUGGAAACCAUAAUACAUGUGUGAAUACAUAGACCACAACAUGUCCCUAGUGAGCCUCUAGUUGACUAGCUCGUUGAUCAACAGAUAGUCAUGCUUUCCUGACUAUGGACAUUGGAUGCCAUUGAUAACGGGAUCACAUCAUUAGGAGAAUGAUGUGAUGGACAAGACCCAAUCCUAAGCAUAGCACAAGAUCGUGUAGUUCGUUUGCUAGAGCUUUUCCAAAUGUCAAGUAUCAUUUCGUUAGACCAUGAGAUUGUGCAACUCCCGGAUACCAUAGGAGUGCUUUGGGUGUGCCAAACGUCACAACGUAACUGGGUGGCUAUAAAGGUGCACUGCGGGUAUCUCCGAAAGUGUCUGUUGGGUUGGCACGAAUCGAGACUGGGAUUUGUCACUCCGUAUGACGGAGAGGUAUCUCUGGGCCCACUCGGUAAUGCAUCAUCGUAAUGAGCUCAAUGUGACCAAGUGUUUGGUCACGGAAUCAUGCAUUACGGUACGAGUAAAGUGACUUGCCGAUAACGAGAUUGAAUAAGGUAUUGGGAUACCGACGAUCGAAUCUCGGGCAAGUAACGUACCGAUUGACAAAGGGAAUUGUAUACGGGAUUGAUUGAAUCCUCGACAUCGUGGUUCAUCCGAUGAGAUCAUCGUGGAACAUGUGGGAGCCAACAUGGGUAUCCAGAUCCCGCUGUUGGUUAUUGACUGGAGAGUCGUCUCGGUCAUGUUUGCAUGUCUCCCGAACCCGUAGGGUCUACACACUUAAGGUUCAGUGACGCUAGAGUUGUAGAGAUAUUAGUAUGCGGUUAACCGAAAGUUGUUAGGAGUCCCGGAUGAGAUCCCGGACGUCACGAGGAGUUCCGGAAUGGUCCGGAGGUAAAGAUUUAUAUAUGGGAAGUCCUAUUUUGGCCACCGGAAAAUGUUCGGGAUUUUUCGAUAUUGUACCGGGAAGGUUCUAGAAGGUUCCGAAGUGGGGCCCACCUGCAUGGGGGGACCCAUAUGAACAUGGGUAGUGGGGGAAAGGCCCCACACCCCUGGUCAAGGCGCACCAAGAUCCCACCUUAGAAGGAAUAAGAUCAUAUCCCGAAGGGAUAAGAUCAAGAUCCCUAAAAAAGGGGGAUAACAAUCGGUGGGGAAGGGAAAUGAUGGGAUUUCUUUCCGCCACCUUUGCCAACGCCCCAAUGGACUUGGAGGGCAAGAAACCAGCCCCCUCCACCCCUAUAUAUAGUGGGGAGGCGCAUGGGAGCAGCACCCCAAGCCCUGGCGCCUCCCUCCCUCCUGUGACACCUCUUCCUCCCCGCUUGCGCUUGGCGAAGCCCUGCCGGGAUCCCGCUACUUCCACCACCACGCCGUCGUGCUGCUGGAUCUCCAUCAACUUCUCCUCCCCCCUUUCUGGAUCAAGAAGGAGGAGACGUCCCCGCUCCGUACGUGUGUUGAACGCGGAGGUGCCGUCCGUUCGGCGCUAGGAUCAUCGGUGAUUUGGAUCACGACGAGUACGACUCCAUCAACCCCGUUGUCUUGAACGCUUCCGCUCGCGAUCUAUAAGGGUAUGUAGAUGCACUCCUCCCCUCUCGUUGCUAUCAUCUCCUAGAUUGAUCUUGGUGACACGUAGGAAAAUUUUGAAUUUCUGCUACGUUCCCCAACAGUGGCAUCAUGAGCCAGGUUUAUGCGUAGAUUCUAUGCACGAGUAGAACACAAAGUAGUUGUGGGCGACGAUUUGUUCAAUUUGCUUACCGUUACUAGUCUUAUCUUGAUUCGCCGGCAUUGUGGGAUGAAGCGGCCCAGAUCAACCUUACACGUACUCUUACGUGAGACAGGUUCCACCGACUGACAUGCACUUGAUGCAUAAGGUGGCUAGCGGGUGCCUGUCUCUCCCACUUUAGUCGGAUCGGAUUCGAUGAAAAGGGUCCUUAUGAAGGGUAAAUAGCAAUUGGCAUAUCACCGUUGUGGCUUUUGCGUAGGUAAGAAACGUUCUUGCUAGAAACCCAUAGCAGCCACGUAAAACAUGCAACAACAAUUAGAGGACGUCUAACUUGUUUUUGCAGGGUAUGCUAUGUGAUGUGAUAUGGCCAAAAGGAUGUGAUGAAUGAUAUAUGUGAUGUAUGAGAUUGAUCAUGUUCUUGUAAUAGGAAUCACGACUUGCAUGUCGAUGAGUAUGACAACCGGCAGGAGCCAUAGGAGUUGUCUUAAUUUAUUGUAUGACCUGCGUGUCAAUGAAAAACGCCAUGUAAUUACUUUACUUUAUUGCUAACCGUUAGCCAUAGUAGUAGAAGUAAUGUUGGCGGGACAACUUCAUGAAGACACGAUGAUGGAGAUCAUGAUGAUGGAGAUCAUGGUGUCAUGCCGGUGACGAAGGUGAUCAUGCCGCGCCUCGAAGAUGGAGAUCAAAAGGCGCAAGAUGAUAUUGGCCAUAUCAUGUCACUUUAUGAUUUGCAUGUGAUGUUUGUCAUGUUUACAUCUUAUUUGCUUAGAACGACGGUAGCAUAAAUAAGAUGAUCCCUCACUAAAAUUUCAAGAGAUGUGUUCCCCCUAACUGUGCACCGUUGCGAAGGUUCGUUGUUUCGAAGCACCACGUGAUGAUCGGGUGUGAUAGAUUCUAACGUUCGCAUACAACGGGUGUUGACGAGCCUAGCAUGUACAAACAUGGCCUCGGAACACAAGCAAAACACUUAGGUUGACUUGACGAGCCUAGCAUGUACAGACAUGGCCUAGGAACACAAGAGACCGAAAGGUCGAACAUGAGUCGUAUAGUAGAUACGAUCAACAUGGACAUGUUCACCGAUGAUGACUAGUCCAUCUCACGUGAUGAUCGGACACGGCCUAGUCGAUUCGGAUCAUGUAUCACUUAGAUGACUAGAGGGAUGUCUAUUUAAGUGGGAGUUCAUUAAAUAAUCAGAUGAACUUAAUUAUCAUGAACAUAGUCAAAAGGUCUUUGCAAAUAAUGUCGUAGCUUACGCUUUAGUUCUACUAAGAUAUGUUCCUAGAGAAAAUUUAGUUGAAAGUUGAUAGUAGCAAUUAUGCGGACUGGGUCCGUAAACUGAGGAUUGUCCUCAUUGCUGCACAGAAGGCUUAUGUCCUUAAUGCACCGCUCGGUGUGCUGAACCUCGAGCGUCGUCUGUAGAUGUGACGAAACAUCUGACAUACACGUUUUGAUGACUACGUGAUAGUUCAGUGUGUGAUGCUAACGGUUUAAAAUUGUGGCACCAAAGACGGUUUUGAAAUGUCGCAGAACAUAUGAGAUGUUCCAAAGACUGAAAUUGGGAUUUCAGACUAAUGCCCACGUCAAGAGGUAUGAGACCUCUGACAAGUUUCUUAAGCCUGCAAACUAAGGGAGAAAAGCUCAAUCGUUGAGCAUGUGCUCAGAUUGUCUGAGUACUACAAUCACUUGAAUCGAGUGGGAGUUAAUCUUCCAGAUGAGAUAGUGAUGGUUCUCCAUAGUCACUGCCACCAAGCUAUUAGAGCGUCGUGAUGAACUAUAACAUAUCAGGGAUAGACAUGAUGAUCCUUGAGCAACUCGCGAUGUUUGACACCGCGAAAGUAGAAAUCAAGAAGGAGCAUCAAUUGUUGAUGGUUAGUAAAACCACUAGUUUCUAGAAGGGCAAGGGCAAGAAGGGAUACUUCAUGAAACGGCAAAUCAGUUGCUGCUCUAGUGAAGAAACCCAAGGUUGAACCCAAACCCGAGACUAAGUGCUUCUGAAAUGAGGGGAACGGUCACUAAAGCAGAACUACCCUAGAUACUUCGUAGAUGAGAAGGCUGGCAAGGUCGACAGAAGUAUAUUGGAUAUACAUUAUAUUAAUGUGUACUUUACUAGUACUCCUAGUAGCACCAGGGUAUUAGAUACCGGUUCGGUUGCUAAGUGUUAGUAACUCGAAAUAAAAGCUGCGGAAUAAACGGAGACUAGCUAAAGGUGAGAUGACGAUAUGUGUUGGAAGUGUUUCCAAGGUUGAUGUGAUCAAGCAUCGCAUGCUCCCUCUACCAUCGAGAUUGGGGUUAAACCUGAAUAAUUAUUAUUUGGUGUUUGUGUUGAGCAUAGACAUGAUUGGAUUAUGUUUAUCGCAAUACGGUUAUUCAUUAAAGGAGAAUAAUGGUUACUCUGUCUAUUUGAAUAAUACCUUCAAUGGUCUUGCACCUAAAAUGAAUGGUUUAUUGAAUCUCGAUCGUAGUGAUACACAUGUUCAUGCCAAAAGAUAUAAGAUAGUAAUGAUAGUACCACAUACUUGUGGCACUGCCACUUGAGUCAUAUUGGUAUAAAACGCAUGAAGAAGCUCCAUGUUGAUGGAUCUUUGGACUCACUUGUUUUUGAAAAGAUUGAGACAUGCGAACCAUGUCUAUUAGUAUAUAUGCAUGAAGAAAGUCCAUACAGAUGGAUCAUUUGGACUCACUUGAUUUUGAAUCACUUGAGACAUGCAAAUCAUACCACAUGGGCAAGAUGACUGAAAGGCCUCGUUUUCAGUAAGAUGGAACAAGAGAGCAACUUGUUGGAAGUAAUACAUUUGAUGUGUGCAGUCCAAUGAGUGCUGAGGCACGCAGUGGAUAUCGUUAUGUUCUUACUUCACAGAUGAUUUGAGUAGAUGCUGAGAAUAUUUACUUGAUGAAACACAAGUCUGAAUUAUUGAAAGGUUCAAGUAAUUUCAGAGUGAAGUUGAAGAUCGUCGUGACAAGAGGAUAAAAUGUCUGUGAUAUGAUCAUAGAGAUGAAUAUCUGAGUUACGAGUUUGGCACACAAUUAAGAAAUUGUGGAAAUUGUUUCACGACUAAUACCGCUUGGAACACCAUAUUGUGAUGGUGUGUCCGAACAUCAUAACUGCACCCUAUUGGAUAUGGUGCAUACCAUGAUGUCUCCUAUCGAAUUACAACUAUCGUUUAUGGGUUAGGCAUUAGAGACAACCGCAUUCACGUUAAAUAGGGCACCACGCAAUUCCGUUGAGACGACACCGUAUGAACUAUGGUUUAGAGAAACCUAAGCUGUCGUUUCUUAAAAGUUUGGGGCUGCGACGCUUAUGUGAAAAAGUUUCAGGCUGAUAAGCUCGAACCCAAAGCGGAUAAAUGCAUCUUCAUAGAAUACCCAAAACAGUUGGGUAUACCUCCUAUUUCAGAUCUGGAAGCAAAAGUGAUUGUUUCUAGAAACGGGUCCUUUCUCGAGGAAAAGUUUCUCUCGAAAGAAUUGAGUGGGAGGAUGGUGGAGACUUGAUGAGGUCAUUGAACCGUCACUUCAACUAAUGUGUAGCAGGGCACAGGAAGUUGUUCCUGUGGCACCUACACCAAUUGAAGUGGAAGCUUAUGAUAGUGAUCAUGAAACUUCAGAUCAAGUCACUACCAAACCUCAUAGGACGACAAGGAUGCGUACUACUUCAGAGUGGUACGUAAUCCUGUCUUGGAAGUCAUGUUGCUAGACAACAAUGAACCUACGAGCUAUGGAGAAGCGAUGGUGGGCCCGGAUUCCGACGAAUGGCUCGAGGCCAUAAAAUCCGAGAGGAUCCAUGUAUGAAAACAAAGUAUAGACUUUGAAAGAACUACUUGAUGGUCGUAAGGCUGUUGGGUACACAUGGGUUUUAAAGGGAAGACGGACAAUGAUGGUAAGUGUCACCAUUAAGAAAGCUCGACUUGUCGUUAAGAUGUUUUCCGGCAAGUUCAAGGAGUUGACUGCGAUGAGACUUUCUCACUCGUAGCGAUGCUAAGAGUCUGUUAGAAUUAUAUUAGCAGUUACUGCAUUAUUUAUGAAAUCUUGCAGAUAGGAUGUCAAAACAUUGUUUCCUCGACGAUUUUCUUGAGGAAAGGUUGUAUGUGAUACAACCAGAAGGUUUUGUCAAUCCUGAAAGAUGCUAACAAGUAUGCAAAGCUCCAGCAAUCCUUCUAAGGAUUGGAGUAAGCAUCUCGGAGUUGGAAUGAACGCUUUGAUGAGAUGAUCAAAGAUUUUGGGUUUAUACAAAGUUCAUGAGAAACUUGUAUUUCCAAAGAAGUGAGUGGGAGCACUAUAGAAUUUUUGAUGAGUAUAUGUUGUUAACAUAUUGUUGAUCAGAAAUGAUGUAGAAUUUCUGGAAAGCAUCCAGGGUUAUUUGAAAAGUGUUUUUAAUGGAAAACCUGGAUUAAGCUACUUGAACAUUGAGCAUCAAGAUCUAUAAGGAUAGAUCAAAAACGCUUAAUAGUACUUCAAAUGAAUACAUACCGUGACAAGAUUUUGAAGGAGUUCAAAAUAGAUCAGCAAAGAAGGAGUUCUUGGCUGUGUUACAAGGUGUGAGUAUUGAGUAAGACUCAAGACCUGACCACGGCAGAAGAAAGAGAAAGGACGAAGGUCGUCCCUUAUGCCUUAGACGUAGGCUCUACAAUAUGCUAUGCUGUGUUCCACACCUGAAGUGUGCCUUGCCAUGAGUUAGUCAAGGGGUACAAUAGUGAUCCAGGAAGGGAUCACAUGACAGCGGUCGAACUUAUCCUUAGUAUCUAGUGGACUAAGGAAUUUUCUCGAUUAUGGAGGUGGUAAAAGAGUUCGUCGUAAGGGGUUACGUCGAUGCAAACUUUGACACUAAUCCGGAUGACUCUGAGUAGUAAACCGGAUUCGUAUAGUAGAGCAGUUAUUUGGAAUAGUUCCAAGUGGCGCGUGGUAGCUACAUCUACAAGAUGACAUAGACAUUUGUAAAGCACACACGGAUCUGAAUGUUGCAGACCCGUUGACUAAAACCUCUCUCGUAAGCAUAACAUGAUCAAACCCUAGAACUCAUUGAGUGUUAAUCAUAUGGUGAUGUGGACUAGAUUAUUGACUCUAGUAAACUCUUGGGUAUUAGUCACAUGGCGAUGUGAACUUUGAGUGUUAAUCACAUGGCGAUGUGAACUAGAUUAUUGACUCUAGUGCAAGUGGGAGACUGUUGGAAAUAUGCCCUAGAGGCAAUAAUAAAAUGGUUAUUAUUGUAUUUCCUUGUUCAUGAUAAUUGUCUGUUGUUCAUGCUAUAAUUGUAUUAACUGGAAACCGUAAUACAUGUGUGAAUACAUAGACCACAACAUGUCCCUAGUGAGCCUCUAGUUGACUAGCUCGUUGAUCAACAGAUAGUCAUGGUUUUCUGACUAUGGACAUUGGAUGUCAUUGAUAAUGGGAUCACAUCAUUAGGAGAAUGAUGUGAUGGACAAGACCCAAUCCUAAGCAUAGCACAAGAUCGUGUAGUUCGUUUGCUAGAGCUUUUCCAAAUGUCAAGUAUCAUUUCCUUAGACAAUGAUAUUGUGCAACUCCCGGAUACCAUAGGAGUGCUUUGGGUGUGCCAAACGUCACAACGUAACUGGGUGGCUAUAAAGGUGCACUACGGGUAUCUCCGAAAGUGUCUGUUGGGUUGGCACGAAUCGAGACUGGGAUUUGUCACUCCGUAUGACGGAGAGGUAUCUCUGGGCCCACUCGGUAAUGCAUCAUCAUAAUGAGCUCAAUGUGACCAAGUGUUUGGUCACGGGAUCACGCAUUAUGGUACGAGUAAAGUGACUUGCCGGUAAUGAGAUUGAACAAGGUAUUGGGAUACCGACGAUCGAAUCUCGGGCAAGUAACGUACCGAUUGACAAAGGGAAUUGUAUACGGGAUUGAUUGAAUCCUCGACAUCGUGGUUCAUCCGAUGAGAUCAUCGUGGAACAUGUGGGAGCCAACAUGGGUAUCCAGAUCCCGCUGUUGGUUAUUGACCGGAGAGUUGUCUCGGUCAUGUCUGCAUGUCUCCCGAACCCGUAGGGUCUACACACUUAAGGUUCGGUGACGCUAGAGUUGUAGAGAUAUUAGUAUGCGGUUAACGGAAAGUUGUUCGGAGUCCCGGAUGAGAUCCGGACGUCACGAGGAGUUCCAGAAUGGUCCGGAGGUAAAGAUUUAUAUAUGGGAAGUCCUAUUUUGGCCACCGGAAAAUGUUCGGGAUUUUUCAGUAUUGUACCGGGAAGGUUCUAGAAGGUUCCGAAGUGGGGCCCACCUGCAUGGGGGGACCCACAUGAACGUGGGUAGUGGGGGCAAGGCCCCACACCCCUGGUCAAGGCGCACCAAGAUCCCACCUUAGAAGGAAUAAGAUCAUAUCCCGAAGGGAUAAGAUCAAGAUCCCUAAAAAAGGGGGAUAACAAUCGGUGGGGAAGGGAAAUGAUGGGAUUUCUUUUCCCCACCUUUGCCAAUGCCCCAAUGGACUUGGAGGGCAAGAAACCAGCCCCCUCCACCCCUAUAUAUAGUGGGGAGGCGCAUGGGAGCAGCACCCCAAGCCCUGGCGCUUCCCUCCCUCCCGUGACACCUCUUCCUCCCCGCUUGCGCUUGGCGAAGCCCUGCCGGGAUCCCGCUACUGCCACCACCACGCCGUCGUGCUGCUGGAUCUCCAUCAACUUCUCCUCCCCCCUUGCUGGAUCAAGAAGGAGGAGACGUCCCCGCUCCGUACGUGUGUUGAACGCGGAGGUGCCGUCCGUUCGGCGCUAGGAUCAUCGGUGAUUUGGAUCACGACGAGUACGACUCCAUCAACCCCGUUCUCUUGAACGCUUCCGCUCGCGAUCUACAAGGGUAUGUAGAUGCACUCCUCCCCUCUCGUUGCUAGCAUCUCCUAGAUUGAUCUUGGUGACACGUAGGAAAAUUUUGAAUUUCUGCUACGUUCCCCAACAGUCUAUAGCUUCACACAAUCGUUCGACGCUAGUCCCCGGCAAUGGCGCCAAAAUGAUCAAUUGAGUGCAGUGGGGUAUUUCGCCCAAUUCUGUGAGUGUUGUGUUCUCCACAGGGACUAGGCGACGACAACAAUGCUCGGCUAAAGCUAGGUGACAGAAUUUAAAUGAUGAUAGCAGAAAAUAUAAACCUAAAAUAACCAAGGAUGAUGACAAAUAAAAUGACAAACAGCAUGGAGAGAUUAAGAUUGAAACUCACUGUUGUAACGCCCACGAUGCGGCUAUAUCUCCCACGUGUCGAGGCACGACUUAGAGGUAUAACCGCAUUGUAGGUAUUGUCGCAAGAAGGGUCAUCUUCACACAAUCCCAUGUAAUGAACAAGAAUGGGAUAACGAGAGUUGGCUUACAAUCACCACUUCACACAAUACAUAAUUAAUUCAUACAUCAUCCAAAAUCCACACAUAGACCGACUACGGUCAAAUCCAAAUAAAAAUAAGAUAACCCCAAAUGCUAGAUCCCCAAUCCUCCCAACUGGGCUCCACUACUGAUCAUCAGGAAAUGAAACAUAGUAACGACCACGUUCCUCGUCGAACUCCCACUUGAGCUCGGUUGCGUCACCUGCACUGGUAUAGUCGGCACCUGCAACUGUUUUGGUAGAAUCUGUGAGUCACGAGGACUCAGCAAUCUCACACCCGCGAGAUCAAGACUAUUUAAGCUUAUAGGAAAGGAUGGUGUAAUGAGGUGGAGCUGCAGCAAGCACUAAGCAUAUAUGGUGGCUAACAUACGCAAAAGAGAGCGAGAAGAGAAGCAACGCAACGGUCGCGAAGCUAUAAAUGAUCAAGAAGUGAUCCUGAAACUACUUACGUUCAUACAUAACUCAAACCGUGUUCGCUUCCCGGACUCCGCCGAAAAGAGACCACCACGGCUACACACACGGUUGAUGUAUUUUAAUUAAGUCAAGUGUCAAGUUCUCUACAACCGGACAUUAACAAAUUCCCAUCUGCCUCAUAACCGCGGGCACGGCUUUCGAAAGAUAAUACCCUGCAGGGGUGUCCCAACUUAGCCCAUUAUAAGCUCUCACGGUCAACGAAGGAUAAACCUUCUCCCGGGAAGACCCGAUUAGUCUCGGAAUCCCGGUUUACAAGACAUUUCGACAAUGGUAAAACAAGACCAGCAAAGCCGCCCGAAUGUGCCGACAAAUCCCGAUAGGAGCUGCACAUAUCUCGUUCUCAGGGCACACCGGAUAAGCGAAGCGUAUAGGUACCAACGUAACCCAAGUUGCCAAGGGACGGUCCCGCACGGUGCUCUAGUUUGGACCAACACUAGGAGGAGCACUGGCCCGGGGGGUUAAAAUAAAGAUGACCCUCGGGCUCGCGAAAACCCAAGGGAAAAAGGCUUAGGUAGGCAAAUGGUAAAACCAAGGUUGGGCCUUGCUGGAGAAGUUUUAUUCAAGGCGAACUGUCAAGGGGGUCCCAUAAAUCACCCAACCGCGUAAGGAACGCAAACUCAAGGAACAUAAUACCGGUAUGACGGAAACUAGGGGCGGCAAGAGUGAAACAAAACACCAGGCAUAAGGCCAAGCCUUCCACUCUUUACCAAAUAUAUAGAUGCAUUAAUUAAAUAAGAGAUAUUGUGAUAUCCCAAAUAUCCAUGUUCCAACAUGGAACCAACUUCAACUUCACCUGCAACUAGCAACGCUAUAAGAAGGGCUGAGCAAAAGCGGUAACUUAGCCAAACAACGGUUUGCUGGGAAAAGAUGGUUAGAGGCUUGACAUGGCAAUAUGGGAGGCAUGAUAUAGCAAGUGGUAGGUAGCGCAGCAUGGCAAUAGAACGAACAACUAGCAAAGCAAAGAUAGAAGUGAUUUCGAGGGUAUGGUCAUCUUGCCUGCAAGGUUCUCAGAGUUGUCGAAAGCUUGAUCCUCGUAAGCGUACUCAACAGGUUCCUCGUUCACGAACUCGUCUCCCGGCUCUACCCACAGCAAGAACACAAGCAAUGGAACCACAAUCAAUCACGGGAAAAGCACAAGCAACAUGAUGCAAAACAUGCAUGAUAUGCGAGAUAUGAUAUGCGAUGCAUAUGCGUGCUCCGGAAGAAAAAGGAUGAAUAGGGCAUCAACUUGGCAAACCAAGUAUGCCACUGGAAAGAUGAGAUGAUUUCGGUCGAAAUCGAUAUAAAGAUCACCGGAAACGGAUGCACGGUUUGCAAAUGGCAAGCAAAACAAGAAUGACACGAUUCUGCGAUUAACAUCAUGAUAGCACUUAGAAUACAACAGGUAACUAUGCUAUAGCAUCCCAACAUAGCAACAAAGCAUAUGGCAGUAAUCUACAGGAGAUGCUUGACAAAAGAUGAACACUGAGCUACGGCUAGAUCACAGAAUAAUAGGUUCAAACAAGCAUGGCAAAAGUGCAAAAGAUAUCAGUAUCCCAGAAUUGGUGAAAAUACUGAACAUGGCUGAAACAGCAUCAGGUAGCAAUGUUCAGAGCAAGCAAAACACAUGCUACAGGAACUUAACAUAGCAAAACAAGACACGGCAUGGAGCUAAUAAAUGCAUAGAACAAAAUUCCCUUACUGACCAUGAGCCAAAAAGGACCAGAAGAUAUGAUGGCACCCAUGUAAACAUAGCAAGUUUCGUUAACAGGUUUCAGACUUGGCAGAAAACAGAGCAUGGCAUUAACAGAAUUAUAAAGGUGUCUUUGCGAGCUUGAUUCACUCAUCACAAAGCAAUCCAUGACAAAACAAGCAUACCUACAGCAAGAUGGCAUGUUUAUGAAGCUAACCAUGGCAAGAGCAAGUUCAUAGCAUGUAUGGAUCAACUACAACAACCUUGGCAAAACUGAAUAUCAUGUUAACAAUCUGCCAGGAAUAUUUUGUAGCAAAAGUAGAGCAAGAUUGAGACAUGUUAGGGCACUCCAUAAUUGCAAACAGGGGCAUGGAUGGAUAGAGCAUAACUAUAUCUACAAAACAUCCUUACUGAACAUACCCAAAAGAAGCAUGGAUCUCACUAUAGACACAUGGAUACAUGGCAACAAAAUAACAGCAGGUAAAAGACUGCAAAAUUUGUAAGUCCGUGAAAACAGAAACAUCACGAAGCCUAGUUUGCAUGCUUGUGCUAGUCACCACAUAGAUCACAAAAAUACAUGGCAUACACCUCUGUAAAGAUGACAUGGCAUAGAUCAAAACAUCUGUAGAGCUCAUGCCCAUAAGAUGCACACAUCAAAUGCCACAAAAAUAACAAAACAUCAAGUUCUGAUAAGUAACAGCAGUAAACAUCAUAUAGCACUCUUGCACCAGAGAUUUGGGCAUCAAGAUGGACUCAAACGAGCAUGGCACAAUGGAACAAAAUGAAGAGCAUCUUGUGAUGAACAUUUUGAUAUAACAUGCACGCAAAACGGAGCAGUGCAAUGAGAUAUGACAUGAUGAAUAAUGCAACAUAAUGUGAAAAACUUCGGGACUUGGAGGAAAAUUCAGGGUCAACCUUCUCCGAUCUAGAUCUGGCACGGAAGCCGAGGUUCACCGGGGUUGGAGAGGAGGAGGCCGGAGGAGAGGGCGACGGCGGCCGGAGCUCGGGGAGGCCGGGGAAGGAGGAGGCGACGGGGACGGGCGCCGGCGCGGGCGGCGGUGGUCGGCGGGGAGCAGGAACGGCGGCNNNNNNNNNNNNNNNNNNNNNNNNNNNNNNNNNNNNNNNNNNNNNNNNNNNNNNNNNNNNNNNNNNNNNNNNNNNNNNNNNNNNNNNNNNNNNNNNNNNNNNNNNNNNNNNNNNNNNNNNNNNNNNNNNNNNNNNNNNNNNNNNNNNNNNNNNNNNNNNNNNNNNNNNNNNNNNNNNNNNNNNNNNNNNNNNNNNNNNNNNNNNNNNNNNNNNNNNNNNNNNNNNNNNNNNNNNNNNNNNNNNNNNNNNNNNNNNNNNNNNNNNNNNNNNNNNNNNNNNNNNNNNNNNNNNNNNNNNNNNNNNNNNNNNNNNNNNNNNNNNNNNNNNNNNNNNNNNNNNNNNNNNNNNNNNNNNNNNNNNNNNNNNNNNNNNNNNNNNNNNNNNNNNNNNNNNNNNNNNNNNNNNNNNNNNNNNNNNNNNNNNNNNNNNNGGCGACGCGGGGCGCGGGAUCAGGGCCGGGAGGGCAUCCCGCGGGCCCUGCGGGCUGCGGCGGCGGGCGGCGAAGUGGGCGCGGUCUCCGCCAUGUGUCGGCUCCUGACUGGUGCGGCUGCGGUGGCGGGUUCGUCCGGCGCGGGACGGACGCGUCCGGCGGCGGAGAGGGAGCAGGUUAGGGUUUGAUCUGCGCGAAAAAUCUGGGGGCUCACUUAUUUAUAGGUAGAGGGAGCUAGGAGACUCCAAAUGAGGCACGGUUUUCGCCCACAAGAUCGUGAUCGAACGACCAAGAGCAUGGAGGGGACUUAGAUGGGUUAUUGGGCUGUUUGGAGGGGGGUUUUGCUGCAACACACAAAAGGCCUUUGCGGUUACCCGAUUAACGUUGGAGCAUCAAACGACCUCCAAAUGGAACGAAACUUGACAGGUGGUCUACCGGUGGUGUACCAAGGCCACUUGGCAAGACUCGAUCCAUUCCGAGAACGUUUAACACCCGCUCACGAAAAGAGACAAGAGGGGCUGCGCCGGUGCAUGUGGGAGUGUCGGAUUGCAAAACGGACAACGGGGAAAAUGCUCGGAUGCAUGAGACGAACACGUAUGCAUAUGAGAUGCACAUGAUGACAUGAUAUGAGAUGCAUGACAUGAACAAAAUGCAAAACGAGAGACAAAACCCAACCACGGAGGGAAUAUCAUAACACAUAUCCGAAAAUGGCAAGAGUUGGAGUAACAAAUAUGGAAAGUUACAUCCGGAGUGUUACAAGUGUAUCUUUGGUAUUUUUGUUUUACUAAAGACGCUAAAACACUAACAUAAAGGGAAGCAACGGGACAUGAACACAUAUAUUACUAUCAUACAAGUAACAAAGGGGGAGAAAGAAUGCUAUGACAGAGACAGAAAUAUAUCACAACACAAACAUAUAUAUUUUCACAUGAACGUAAUUAACACAGGGACUACAGAACACACAUAAGCACACCAUGAUCCAGGUUACACAAGUAAACAAAUUAUACAAGCCACUUACUAGUAUCACAGAUCAACAAAGUAGUAUUAAACAACUAAAAAUAGAUAGUAGAAGUAACUAGUACAGGAAACAAGUACUGUUAGAAUCCGAAUGUUACAGACUACAUGUCUCAAACUACAGAAAAUUCAGAGAAGAGAAGGAGAAAGAGAGAUGGUAGCAGGAGAUUAGAGAAAGAAGAAGCAGCAACUGGGGCAUGGAGAGAGGAGCAGCAGCAGUACGGGAUUCAGAGAAGAGCAACAGAGAGGGAGAGAGCAGCAGCGUGGUGAGGAUUCAGAGGUGAACAGCAGCAAGGUUAGGAGAAGGAGAAGGGCAGCAGCGAGGUAAGGAGAAGAGUAGCAGCAGCAGAUUGAGAAGGGAGGAAAAAGAAGCAGCAAGCAGCGGAAGGAGGAGGAGGAAGAGCAGCAGGGCAAGAGAAGAAGGAGGCAGCAGCAGGAGGUUGGAGAAGGGAGAAGCAGCAGUAGGAAGAGAAGAAGGACCAGGGACGUGGCAAGGGAGAUGCAGCAGUAGAGGCGUGGGGAAGAAGAGAAGCAGCAGGGGCGAAGCAAGAGGGAAGAGUGGAAGUGGUGGAUGGCGCCGGCGUGGGUUGCUGGUGGUUCGGGGUUCAGGUGGCGGCGCUGAUGGUGGAUGGUGCAGCGGUGGCGCUGGGUGAUGGACGGAUGGAUGGCGAUGGUGAAGUGGUGGAGUAGCAGCUAGUGGUGGGGGGUGCUGUUGGCGCGGUGGCGCGCCGCCACGCCGGCCUGGCCGCGGCGGUGGCCGGUGGUGGAGAAGGUGGGAUGAGGGAGAGAGAGAUAUGCCAGGCCCAAAAGGGGAUCGGGGCUGCUGCUAGGGAUUUUGACCCCUCCUCUAGUGUGCC